rnacentral:lncRNA from 1 species
GGCGUAGACGAGUUAAGUCCUGGUCUGCGUGGAGGUCGACGACUCCGUCGCAGACUACGGACCUGUCUGGGUCUCAGCCGCCAAAGACCCCGUCCGGAAGUACUAGCCGGACAUCAUGAGUGGCUGUCGGGUAUUCAUCGGGAGACUAAAUCCAGCGGCCAGGGAGAAGGACGUGGAAAGAUUCUUCAAGGGAUAUGGACGGAUAAGAGAUAUUGAUCUGAAAAGAGGCUUUGGUUUUGUGGAAUUUGAGGAUCCAAGGGAUGCAGAUGAUGCUGUGUAUGAGCUUGAUGGAAAAGAACUCUGUAGUGAAAGGGUUACUAUUGAACAUGCUAGGGCUCGGUCACGAGGUGGAAGAGGUAGAGGACGAUACUCUGACCGUUUUAGUAGUCGCAGACCUCGAAAUGAUAGACGGUAUGUGAAGGGUGGAUGGCUGCAUUGAACAAUUAUUGUAGGGGUAGCAUUUAAGAUUCAGGAGUCAUUAGCAGUGAUGAUUUUGGGUCCUGCCGUAUAAUCUGUUCUUCUAUUCCCACGUUAGCCAGUUGUUCUUGAUGAAUCUAUAUGAGUCAUAGAACACAAAUCUAUUGACGGAAGUCAUUAGAAUGGCUUGUGAUAUCUGAUGGCUUGAACUUGCCCACAGUUGAACACAAGUGCUGUCAUUGCAUUUCUUCCAUUGUGAAUACGAAUUUUCUUCCUCAGAAAUGCUCCACCUGUAAGAACAGAAAAUCGUCUUAUAGUUGAGAAUUUAUCCUCAAGAGUCAGCUGGCAGGUUUGUUGAAAUACAGUUUUGAGUUAUUUUGAUGUGGCUUUUUAAAAAAGUUAAUGGGUAGCUAAUGUUGUAUUGUUUUAUUAAAAGUAGUUUUAAAUUAAUGGAUUUAAUGGAAUUGUAAUUUUAAACAUUUAAUUAAAUGUAAUUUGGGGGAUAUUUUGAACUUUAAUAUUAGUGAUCAAAUGUAAAUGUUUUGAGGAUAUUUUUCUUGUUUUUUAAAAUCAAUUUUUAACCAAAUAUUAAACCCUUUAUUUGCCAGCCUGUCUGUGUCGUUGGCCUUAUGACGAGGAGUGCCUGUGGGUUAUCCUAAUCGUUGUCUUGGUCACUCUUGGUUGGGCCUGGUUGACUUUGCCAGUCAGCUCCUACAGUGAUCAGUUGGCCACCUCUAGAUCUGUGUUUGCCGGUCUAGACGUUAUCGGUGCACUUCCUUGAAGUGCCAGGUUGCAGCGAUCCCAGAGCGUUGAUAACGUGAUCUGAUCCCUAAGUUGAGACCUGUCUUCCUGUAACGCUUCCGAAUAAGAGGUCCGGUCGAAAAGAGUUGAAAGAUACGAAAUUAGGUGGUCGUUGGAAUCCUGAUCGCAGUAAAGUGGUCCUUGGUAACUGCUCGAGUAGAACAUGUCUGCAUCCGCCAAUAGUCCGCUAAUAGGGAGGGCUGUGCGAUUAAAGGCUUCCAUCGAUUGGGUAGUGUCCUUCAAGUGGGUGGCGAAGAGCCAGUCGGGCAUAUGUCAUGAAGGUUUCUCCGACCGAUUAAUGGUUUGCUGCUUGACUAGCCUAGGGAAAUAAUAAUAAAGGUAAAGUAAACUUUUUUAAUGACAUAUGGGGCACAAAAUAACUGGUGUCUUGUAAAUGUUCUGUUUUUUUAAAUAAAACUUCUCUACUUUAGUCUUUACUUUAAAAAUAUGUACUGUUUCCUUUUUUGUUGUUUUUUUGUUUGUUUUUUUUUCUUUUGUACUGAGCUCAGCAUAGACUAAUACUACCUUAAUGUUAAAAUCUGAAUUUCUUUUAGCAUUUUGCUUAAAAGCAAUAUGCUAUUUGCUUAUUCCGUGCCCUGACAUAGAUAAUUUUUGAAUUCUGAUAGAAUACAAGUGUGGUAAAUGCCAUGUUUGUACUUUAUCUAACAUCUUCUCUUUCAGUAGUCUUGUUUUUUUUAUAUCAUGUGAUUGUUUGUGUGUCCCCUUUCCUCUUCUUUGCUUAACACAAUUAUCUUGUGUUAAGGAUCUCAAAGAUUUCAUGAGACAAGCUGGGGAAGUAACGUUUGCGGAUGCACACCGACCUAAAUUAAAUGAAGGGGUGGUUGAGUUUGCCUCUUAUGGUGACUUAAAGAAUGCUAUUGAAAAACUUUCUGGAAAGGAAA